UUUUGAUUACUUCUUUUAUUAUGUUUUGUUUUACAGUUUUCAACAUUGUUGUGUUUUCCGCAAUUUUGUGAUUCUUAUAUUGCCUCAAGAUUUGACAAAACAACCAACCAAAUAUCCUUCCUGAUAAGAGACCACAGACCAUGGAGUGGUUCUUAACUGUCUAUACAGGAUGCAUAAUGAGGUUUUUCAUGUCCUCUGCUUCACCCUUUGCUAUCAGAGGGCCAAAAAGUUCACCCUGGGAUCAUGUCGACGCUGCCAUUCUUUGUACAUGUGACUCGGAUGGGGCAUGAAGCUUAAUUGAACAUAUGCACGUUUCUGCUUUUGUAAAUAUGUAUGGCUCCUCCUAUAGCGCAUUAAAUAUGAAUAUUUGGUCACCCUGCUCAGAAUAAAUUCCCGUUCCCUUUGCCCUUCCCUUGAAAUGUCUGUUUCUGGCUUCUGAAAGAAGGCUAUGCUACCCCAGCUGUCAGAAUGACCACACUGCAGUCUGCAAGCCUUUAGGAGAAAUAAAGUCCUCCUUUCCAAA